AAAAGAGACAUCAAUUCAAAAUAAAAUCAGAACAUUACAUUUCACAAUAUAUCAUGGGCAAUGGAAAAUCAAGGCCUCUGAUGACCCAGGACUCAAGAAAAAAUAUUAGAAGGAGAAAUAAAAAGCUCACUAAGCAUGACCCAGAUGAUGAAGUUCGUUUUGCAGAUGCCCUGCGGAAAAACAAACGGACGUCCACGAAAGACAAUAGUUUGGUUAAAUUAAAUUUUCCAAGAAGCAAUCGCAUCCGUUACUGCCAUCUAUCAUCAGCACGGUCCAACCAGGAACAAUUUUCAAAGCAGAGCUGGGAAAUGUGCAACCUUGCCUUUGUAGAUGAGAAAAAUCCACAAAGCUGACAGACCUCGUUCAGUUCACAGUGAAUAUACUGACGCCUAAUGGAAAUGUCAGGACCUCGUGGAAACUUAAAAGAUUUAGAUGGCUAUGUGAUUUGGAAAUAUUUUUGGAAAUAUUCAGAAACGUGUGUUCCCUUUAAACAUUUAAAUAAUUUCUGAGCAGUUUCUGUUUGUCUUUAAAACAGACUUUUCCCUUUGUUAUUGACAGCUGAAGCAAUAAAUUCAGAUUAAUUGAAUUUCUGCAAACCAUGUUCAAACCAGCAUUAAAAAUAUGUUGUAUCUGAAAAAUAACCAUCUUGGAAAAUAAAUAAAUAAAAAAUCUUAAAUGUA